rnacentral:rRNA from 1 species
UACGAAGGGGGCUAGCGUUGCUCGGAAUCACUGGGCGUAAAGGGCGCGUAGGCGGCUUAUCAAGUCGGGGGUGAAAGCCCGUGGCUCAACCACGGAAUGGCCUUCGAUACUGGUAGGCUUGAGACCGGAAGAGGACAGCGGAACUGCGAGUGUAGGGGUGAAAUUCGUAGAUAUUCGCAAGAACACCAGUGGCGAAGGCGGCUGUCUGGUCCGGUUCUGACGCUGAGGCGCGAAAGCGUGGGGAGCAAACAGG